UACGUAGGGUGCAAGCGUUAAUCGGAAUUACUGGGCGUAAAGCGUGCGCAGGCGGUUCGCUAAGACCGAUGUGAAAUCCCCGGGCUUAACCUGGGAACUGCAUUUGUGACUGCAUGGCUGGAGUGCGGCAGAGGGGGAUGGAAUUCCGGCGUGUAGCAGUGAAAUGCGUAGAUAUGCGGAGGAACACCGAUGGCGAAGGCAAUCCCCUGGGCCUGCACUGACGCUCAUGCACGAAAGCGUGGGGAGCAAACAGG
rnacentral:rRNA from 1 species